rnacentral:rRNA from 1 species
GACAGAGGAUGCAAGCGUUAUCCGGAAUGAUUGGGCGUAAAGCGCGUGUAGGCGGCCCGGUAAGUCCGCUGUGAAAGUCGGGGGCUCAACCCUCGGAUGCCGGUGGAUACUGUCGGGCUCGAGUACGGAAGAGGCGAGUGGAAUUCCUGGUGUAGCGGUGAAAUGCGUAGAUAUCAGGAGGAACACCUGUGGUGUAGACAGCUUACUACGGGAACAUUGACACUGAGGCACGAAAGCGUGGGGAUCAAACAGG